UUGGCUCUGUGACCCCUUUUGAACCAACCCAAGGCGCUCUUGUAGCGGCUGUCACUUAACCCCUUCUCUCCCCCACCCUGUUCCCUCGCCUGUGUGGUGGCGGGGGUUGCAGAUGUGGGGAAAGCGUGAGAUUGAAGGGAAUCGAUGGGCGACCGCUACUUUCCGAAGGGGAAGGCGUGUACAGAAGUCUGUCCGGGUUUCAGUAUCCAGUGUUAUGUGCAGAGAAAAGUCUUCUGGUGCUUGCGCUGUGAUGCUGGGUAGAGCACAGCGCCUCGGGAGAGCAGGAUGGAGAGACCUUUGCUUGCCUGCACCCUAUCACUAAGGCUUAUUUGGAUGAUCUAGGUCAAGGGGAAACAGGAGCUGUCAAGUGGCUUCUCAGACUCCUUGAAGGGAGGUGACAUGAACCUAAAGAUGACAACAAUGGGAGCAAAGUUUGGCUCUUUUGCAGAAUGGAAAGCGCUGCCUCACCCAGCUCUAAGCUGGAGGUCCUGCUCCUCCCCUGGCAUCCUCCUGCUUCUCUCAGCGGGGCAGGGACCAGGUGCCUGGCAUCAGGUGAGCCCUGGAAAUCUUUCGCGGCCCUGCUGUGUCAUUGUAGACCAGGAGAUAGCGGCUACUGGCAGCGGAGAGAGGAAUUCCUCAGACUGUCUGAUGUUUCUGCCAGUUGUGAGGAGCGAGGAAGCCAGUGCCUGACAAAUACUACAGCAGGUGAAAGGAGGACUGAAAGUGGGUUGAUGACAUUUCCUUAAUUAGCAUGUUCAGAUAAUUGAGUAUUCCACAGAUGUGAUUUGCUUUCUCUAUGCCUUCAGUUUCUUGAGGUGGAAACAAGAUACUUUUUUCCCUCCAGGUGUUUGCCUGAAAAAAUUAUGUUACACCCAUCCCUUCACCCAGAAAUCAGCUGCGUUAACCCUUUGCUUAUUUCUGCUACUGGCCUCCUGGUUGCUCUGAGAGUUUGAGGUUGGUUGCUGUGUCUCAGACUUUAAUAACUCUUUCCGACUUUGUGGCUACUAAGGCAUGUUUUACAUUGAUUUUUCUUAGCAAAUCCUAGUUUCAUUAGUGGGAAGGCCUUUGGGUGUCUGAUCAAAUGAUUCUACUAAAAUAGAAGACAAACUGGAAUCAAGCUGUGUGGGAUAAAGUUGGGGAGAUGAUCACGGUAAUGCACAAAUGUAUUAAUGUAUUGGACCAUUGUGUUUGCUCCUCAUUCAUGUGUAUAAUAAAAAACGAAUUUGAAAUACUGUAUUAUUUAUCUUAAAUAAUAACCCCCCCCAGCAAGGGUAUUGUAAAUAGAACCCCAAUGGAUAUUCCUCCUCCCACCCCACCCCCAAAGUGUCAGGGGAGGAACAGCAUUUUUUUUUUUUUUCUGAUUCUGGUUUGGGGCCAUGAGUUUAUUUUCUCAUGAAUUUACCCAGUUGUCUUCCUGGAAAAGAAAUUGGAGCUAGUGCCAGAUCAGCUUGUCUCCUAAAUUGCAGGUUCAUAGUCAUAUGUCCUUAGAAAGUCUCUGAAGGAGGAAAAAAGGCUAGAAAACUCGAUAGGUCAAGGGAUUUUUUUACUCCAGGGUUUUAUGACAUAACUGGCACUUUCUGUUCGUAGAGUAAUAAGACUGGUCCCUUGCUAGCAAAUACUCUUCAGAGAAAUGGUAUAGCAGCCACUUGCCAUGAAGGCAUUGAUUCCACAAAUUGGAGAAGACCCCAAAUCAACCAUCUCUUCCUUCCCUGGGCUUUAAGGCAGACUUAUCCUAGACCCUCUGAAAGGCAGUCACCUCUCCUUGCGAUGACAUCCAGAGACAAUACAGCGGCCCUGUGUAGGGACCUUGUGGGAUAUUUCCUCACCGAUGACCUCAAGAACUUGUUCCUCAUAUCUGAAAAGAGCUUUCUUAACCUGGUCAGGAUUUUCUUCCAGUCUUCCAGAUGAAGAUUAAAUGGUCACCGUCCUUGUGUAAGAGACCUCCAAAUCUCAAAUGCCUUCUCAACCCUGGACUGGACCAUCCUGAAAGCUUUCUUGCAGAGUUUCCUUAGACCAUAAUAUUCCAUCCUUUUAGUGAGUUUUAAAACCAUUCUAAAAUGUAUUGUUUGUGCUAAAUAACCCUUGGAGAAGUAUAGUUCAGGAACUUGGUUUGGAAAUGUUUUUAAAAAGUCCUUUGUGUUGAGGACUAACACCUCACUUUCUUACCCCAUUUUUGGUAUCAAAUUGCUUUCCCAAAUGUGUGCAUUCUUUAUCUGAUUCCAGGUGAGUGAUGCAAAUGUAUAAAUGAUUCUUGUCUGUAAUCUCCAUUUUUCUGCCUCCACCUCUCCCCCCACUUCUCACUCUCUUUCACUCACACCCCACUAUUGACGGUGCUGUUUUCUUAAAGAAGUGUAUGUUUAUGGCAUAGCUAUAAGAUAUCAUGACCAAACUUUCUUUUUGGUUCAGCUCUCAUUUAAGCCGUAGUUUGAAAGAUAUGUUCUUGUGAGGUGGGGCUGGAAAGACCCUGUGCUGUUGGUGCCAAUGAUGCUUCAUUGAUGGACAUGACUGAGAAUUCUUAUCUGACUGCAUCCCACCAGAAAUGCUGCCCUAAGCGAUCAGUCUCACAGAGGAUGCUGGAAAGAGUUUCUUAUCUAGUCCAUUUUUAAAAGGCUUUUAUUUUAUGGUUUUUUGUUUUAUAAUUUUAAUUUUUUCCAUUAUAGCUGGUUUACAAUGUUCUGUCAAUUUUCUACUGUGGUGACCCGGUAACACAUACAUGUAUAGAUUCAUCACAAGUGAUUAGACAUAGUUCCUAGUGCUAUACAGCAGGAUCUCAUUGCCUAUGCAUUCCAAAGGCAAUAGUCUGCAUCUAUUAACCCCAGACUCCCAGAACAUCCCAUUCCUUCCCCCUCCCCCUUGACAACCACAAGUCUGUUUUUCAAGUCCAUGAUUUUCUUUUCUGUGGAAAGGUUCAUUUGUGCCGUAUCUUAAGUUCCAGAUAUAAGUGAUAUCAUCUGGUAUUUGUCUUUCUGACUUACUUCACUCAGGAUGGGAGUCUCUAGUUCCAUCCAUGUUGCUGCAAAGGGCAUUAUUUUGUUCUUUUUUAUGGCGGAGUAGUAUUCCAUUGUGUAUAUAUACCACAUCUUCCUAAACCACUCGUCUGUCGAUGGACAUUUGGGUUUUCUCCCUGUCUUGG
ensembl:lncRNA